rnacentral:rRNA from 1 species
GACGAACGCUGGCGGCAGGCUUAACACAUGCAAGUCGAGCGCAUCCUUCGGGGUGAGCGGCAGACGGGUGAGUAACGCGUGGGAAUCUACCCAUCUCUACGGAAUAACUCAGGGAAACUUGUGCUAAUACCGUAUACGCCCUUUGGGGGAAAGAUUUAUCGGAGAUGGAUGAGCCCGCGUUGGAUUAGCUAGUUGGUGGGGUAAAGGCCUACCAAGGCGACGAUCCAUAGCUGGUCUGAGAGGAUGAUCAGCCACAUUGGGACUGAGACACGGCCCAAACUCCUACGGGAGGCAGCAGUGGGGAAUAUUGGACAAUGGGCGCAAGCCUGAUCCAGCCAUGCCGCGUGAGUGAUGAAGGUCUUAGGAUUGUAAAGCUCUUUCAACGGUGAAGAUAAUGACGGUAGCCGUAGAAGAAGCCCCGGCUAACUUCGUGCCAGCCGCCGCGUAA